AAUAGCAGUUAUUUCAGAGUUAGGUAUGUGAUAUUUUAGGUAAAAGCAGUCACUUCAGAAUUCAGUAGUCUUUUAGGUAAUAGCGGUCAUUUCAGAAUUCGGUAUAAGAUAUUUUAGGUAAGAGCAGUCACUUCAGAAUUCGGUAGUCUUUUAGGUAAUAGUGGUCAUUUCAGAAUUUGG